UGGAGAGGAAACAUUAUCAAUGGUUUUAUCCGGCAGUGAACCUUGAAUUGAGAACACCAACCAGCUUGACAAGUUAAGGCAGCAACUGGUUACGGUGCUGAGAAUAAGUGACUGUGAGUGCUGAGGAGGGAGGGUACUGUGAAACGAUCUUCUGGACACAACAAACUCACUGUCGCCGUGGUGACCUGCUCAAGACCUGCACAGGAUCAGAGAUGGAGAAGAGCCUAGUGGCUGCCAAGGGCUGGAGGUGAAGGGGAAAGAUGUGGUAAUGAGAGCAAACCUGCUCUGACGGCACCGUCCCACGCCAGACUGUACCAAGUCACUGUCUGCAUGGCUUUUCCCCCGGGAAAGCAGGGGAAGUGGAGGCAGGUGAUAAAUUCCAGGCAAGCCUGAUCUACAUAGUGAGUUCCCGGCCAGCCACAGGCUACAUAGAGACCCUGUCUCAAAAGAAAAAGAAAAGCAAUUUUACAUGUGGCGGGAUUCCUGUCACGAUGUGACCCACCAUCCUGAUGCUACCUGGCGC